rnacentral:lncRNA from 1 species
CCUAUCUUUGUAAAUCUUAAUCGUAUGAUUGCAUUAGGACUCUUUCAUUUUCAAGUAAUACAUUUAAUAAUGGAUUUUAAACAUAUCGUUUUAUUUUGUAGCCUACAAGCUGUCUCAACAGCUGUUCACAAUGCUUUUACCGAAGAUAUGAAGCUGACAAGAUAUGAAGACAAAAGUGACGAUAUGAAUAUUCACAACCUUCCUACGACAUAUGAACAUCUUGAAAGCAACAAGAUGCUUGGGGAUCUUUUGGCUCGUGUCGAACAGCUGGAAGCACGGGAAAAGGCUCGCGAGAAGAUAUAUUUGAAAGAUAUAAAGAAUUUACGACGCCAGCUUGUGAUUCAAAACAGGACGUACAACAUCUCUUGAAAGACAAGUUAGACGUUUGAUAGACGGCAGCAUUGGAAAUGACAAGCAAGCUGCUGAAAAACAAGGAAAGACUUCCAAUGUCAAUGCAGGGCGAACUAAUGAAGAACUAACUAAUAGGAAACACCAGCAAAGGAUACGCCGGACAAUGAACGAAACUCCCGUUGCAUUUUUUCGCUACACUGAGUCAACAUCUAGAACAUGUCGGAGCACACCAAGCAAUAGCAUUUGAUCACGUUGUAACAAACAUUGGUAACGCUUACAAUCAGUCAUUUUGGUUCCUUUGUUGCCCCAGUAUCUGGUACGUACGUGUUUUCAGCCACCCUCUUCUGCAAAUAUCACACUAACUACCACGCGCAAUUUGCCAGAAACGGGCAGCCUAUUACAACAAUGUACAUGUACGGAGCUGAGUCAGGCCAUGCCAGCUACUAGUCAAACGAUUGUCUUAGAACUACAGAAGGGUAAUGACGUAAGCGUUCAGAGCUCCGACGUUGACAGGUCUGUGUUUGGUUACAACUACAGCACGUUUGCUGGAUUUCUGCUUCAGGAGGAUUAUUCUACUUCUACUAUUGUUGGAAAAUAGUACAAAUACCAUGAUGUAUUAUUUUCGAGAGGUUUUGUUCAAUUAAAUGAAUAAACCCAAAGAUUUCAACUCUUUAA